CAUGACAUUCUCUAUCGUGCGUAAGCGUCUUUUUCUCUUUCCAUACUCUUCUUGCGUAAUUCUCUGGUUCAAGCCGGAUUUCCGAGGAGACGAUCAUCCGAGCCUCGUAGCCGCCACCUAGUUGUUUUUAUUCAGGCAGGAUCUGACUCGACGAUCAUCCGGGCCUUGUAGCCGCCUCCAAGUAUCAGGCCGUGGUUCCCCCUACGUCUUUGAUCAGCGGACUCUUUUUUCGUGUGAUCGCCGAGUCCACAAUUAUCAAGGCCUUGCAGCCGCCUCCGAAAUUCAGAUUGUGGUCCUCUCUAUACUUCUUCUGCUUUGUCCCCUACAUUCCUCUUUUUUCCUUAUCUCGUAGGGUUUUAAGGUUUCUUUUAUCGUUCAAGUGUUUUGAAAUGUUUAACUAUAUUAAUGUGGAAUCUAAUGAGUCAUUGAAAUCAAAAUGCCUUGUAAUUUUAAAUUUGGAAAUUAUCACCUCGAAAACAAAUCAGUAUCUCAAAAUCUGAGCUGAUACAGGCACACAUGUGUAAAGCCAAAAUUGAGUUGAGACACGUUAAUGUCUUGAUAUGCUUAGCCUAUGAUAAUUUUGCAAGAAUAGAUUAUUGUGCUUCGCAAAAUUUACGAGCAACUGCUUGGCAGUUUAAUUUUCAAGCAUUUAUAAAUGUAAUAAGAUUACAUAUGGGAUGAUAUGGUACAAAAAGAGUUGUAUCUGGUGACUCUGAUGUGAUUUCUUGUUUUAAUUUGAAAUUCAUAUUGACUGAAUUUUCUGAUAAUUUCCAUGGGCUAUUCUGAUGAAAUAAUAGAACUGCUUUGUACUUAUCCUAAUUUGAUUGUCUAAAAUUCUCUCUCACAAAGAUAGGAAAAGAAAAGAUUAUGUCAUGUCCUUUGUGCCCUGCUUUGUAUUUUCAGUUGAAUUAGGUCUGAUGACUAGAUUCUCGAAAACACCAAAUUGUUGUUAGUGAUUGAUAAUUAGGUGUGAGUGUUUUACGAAAUGAUGGGUCCUGAGUUGAUCAGACUUGUGCAGGAGCAAGAGUUGAAAGUCCCGUGAUGAAUUAGCGAGGAUACAACAAUAGUUCAAACUCCUCUCCUUGUUUAAUUUUGAGAUUCUCAGUUAUUUGUGUGAUAUGUGUUGGGAUUUGUUAUGAUUCAAAUCACAGGACCAUUGAAACCUUGUAAGUAUCUUCUUCAUCAUUGGUUUUGACUCUCUUUUUUAAUGUUAUGGGCUUUUGUUUCAGAGAGGACGAGGAAAAAAAGAGACAUAAAUGGUGAAGGAACUUGAACACCUAACCUCAAAGUCAACGGGGUUGGUAAUGAUUUUGAGUUUUGACCAAAGUUGUUUGGUCGGGUGGGUUGGUUGUUCGGCCAAUAAUCAACCGAUCCGACCCAUGCUCAGCCCUAAUCCAAACUACUCUCACCUAUGGCCAGAGACACUUCAUGGGCUACAUUUUUGUACAUCUUGAAUUUUCAAUUUUGAAUUUCUAUUUGAUUUUAAAGGAUGAAUCUUAGUAUGAGGAUGCAGGAUUCGAUGUAGCAUUUAUUGAUAUUUUGGUUACAAAACGUUCGAACAGCAUGAAAUUUAAUUUUAUUGUAAUGGAAUAUUAAAUUUGAAGAGUUGAAGUGGCAACUUGCACUGAUAUUGUUUAAAAUAUUCCUGUGUUAUUUGGAUUGCCAGUUUCAUUGAGUAGUUAUACUGCAUUUUGCAUGUUCAUGAAUCAUGACAUUGCUGUUACUGGUAUUACAGGGGAUGUCUAACCCUGAGUUGUAAGUUCAGUUGCUGUAUCAAUUUCAUUACUGUCUUCUAGAAUUGAUUAGCAGAGUAGGUCUGCAUUUUGUUUUAGAUUGAUGUAAUAUUUUUUUGGCCCCUUUCUUGAUUUUAGGCAAAGAGAAAUCUGAAAGGAAUUCCUUCCUCAAAAAGCAGAUCACCGCUAUGAGCAUAAUCCCUUAACUUGAUGUCGUGCUUCCUGAAAGCAAAUCAAUAUGAUGAGUGCGUUAAAGAAUGCUCUGAGGUUGGGAAAAUGGUAUAUGUGCAAGAAAACUCUGUUCCCCACAGGAACCUUAAAGUUCUUGAUAAGCUGAUCGCCACCCCCCAUGAGCACGCUCAGGUUAGAUAUGAAAAUAUGAUGAUCAUGCAUUGUGGUUCUAUACUUCUAUGUUAUACUUGUUUGACUGAAAAGUAUAAUUUAAGUCUAGAUUAUGCUUGUUUGACAGGAAGGUAUAAUUUAAGCCUCGAGUUCUUUAGUUUAGAGGUGAAAGACAAAUAAGGAAUGCAAAAUGAUAUGUUGCUCAAGACACUAUGAGACUUCUCCACACUAGAAAUUUUCCUAGAUCAGCAAUCAACACUUUUCUUUUAAAAUUCUUUUUUCAAGAUGUGGCAGCUUGACAAAGAACCUCUACGGCUCCGUUUGGUAGAGCUUUUUUUGCUUUCAAAAUAAGUUAGCCUCGAAGCUGUGAAAUAUAAGCUAGAUGCCUAGAUUAUAAGCGGUAAAAUAAGUAGUUAGGUGUCUAGUGAAACUUAUAGCUGACACUAGCUCAUAGGUUGUGGAUUGUAUGUUUUAUUUUUAAUUUUUUUUAUAAAUAUUGAUAAGUAUGAAUCUAAAUUAUAAAUUUAGAAGUAUAAAUAUUAUGAACAUAGCUGACACUAGCGGUACCGCAGUGGUUAAGCUGGCAUACCGUUAGCUUAAGUUGGGUGUUCGGCUGGCAUAGCGGUACCGCUUGGGCACUGCUGUGCCAAACCGGCACUAUUUCUCUAUUCUCUAAUAAAUUACUUCUUUUGUAUUGAAAAAAUUCACAAGUUAGAAUGUAUUGAAGAAUAUUUUUAUAAAUGAAUUUAAAAUACAAUUUGAAAUCAUUGUAAAUUAUCAAAAUAUAGUACUCUACUCUUUUAACUAUUUUUUUGAAACCACCCGCUAUUUUCAUCUUUUUUAUCCGCAUCGCAAUCACAUGAUCAAAAGUCAGAAUCUCAAUCAAUUCCAUGAACUCCAUCUCUUGUUAUCACUUCCAUCUAUGUAUUUCUGGGCCCCUCCUCUUCUCCUUAGAGUAUAUCCUACUUGAAUAUUUUCAACUCUACAGAAUGCCUGUUCAUAGUUCUACAUGCCCAGACUGUCUUAGCCAAGUUUCAUGCUUAUUAUCUUCAUAUUGCUGUCCCAACAUUCAGUGUCGUGCAUCAUUCAAAAUCUAUUCAAUGUUUUCCGUAAUCCCUCCAUCGUUCUGAAUAUCAAACCUAAAUUAUUUAUGAUUCCCAGUUUUAUGUAUUUCUUUCCCGUAAUUUAAUUGAUUCCCAUUGUUUGAGCAAAGCAAGCAGUCUCUGGCCAAUGCAGUAGAUACUUUUGUGGGUGGUUUUCUUUAGAAUUACAGAUUAUGAAUUACUAUUAUUUAAUUUUUCGUCUCUAUGUUGGUUUUCUGGAAAUGCUUGUGGUGUGAGAACAGCAUUUACUUGAGUUUUGGAGUUAAAUGUUUAUAUUUAUGAGAACUCAUGCGGAAGUAUCUUGAACAUUGAGAUGACUUUUGCUUGACACUAUUAGGUUAUUGAACCUACUUUUAUGACUAAUGCUUUGCUGUGAGCAUAUUGCAAAAACCGUGCCAGGAGGAUGCCACAGGAAAUGCCCUUAGAACAAAAUUUUAAAUGCAUGGAGGAGCGAAAGAAUUAUUGAAUGAUCUAGUGCGGGAAAGGAUUGUAAGGUAUUCUGACGGUGGGAUAAUUUCAGGGAUGGGUUUAUAAGGUAUUCCUAGGGUGGGAUAAUUCCUGAUAUAAUAAUGUAUCUGGAUGAACUGAAGCCAUGAUGUGCGAUAAGAAAGAAUAUAUCUUCAACCAAAAAAUGAUAUCGGCGGUGUAAAAGUGAAAAUUUUGAUUAGAGAUGGAAAAAAAUGAAGAGGGGAUGGUUUAGGUGGAGAAAUAAUAAAGAGAUUUGAAGAUAAUCGACGCCUGUUAAAACAUGUAAGGUGAUCUUCAUUUGAGAGUCAUGUUACUGCUGCAGGUAAUUACUAGUUAGUAAGUUGAGCUGAUGGCUGUGAAGUAUCAGCCGUUUGGUAAGGUGGGAGAAAUAUGUCCCGGCUUGAAUAAUCAUAGGUCUAAUUUGUUUAUAAAUUAUCAGCAGUUCUAAGGGCC